GUAGUACUCCCUUCGUUCCAUAAUUCUUGUCGGAAUCUUACAUGUAUCUAGACACUUUGUAAGAUUAGAUACAUCCAUUUUUGGUUGAAUUUGAGACAAAAAUUAUGGAACGGAGGGAGCAGAUA
rnacentral:pre_miRNA from 1 species